UACGUAGGGUGCGAGCGUUAAUCGGAAUUACUGGGCGUAAAGCGUGCGCAGGCGGUUCGCCAAGUCAGGUGUGAAAUCCCCGGGCUUAACCUGGGAAUUGCGCUUGAAACUAGCGGGCUUGAGUGUGGCAGAGGGGGGUGGAAUUCCACGUGUAGCAGUGAAAUGCGUAGAGAUGUGGAGGAACACCGAUGGCGAAGGCAGCCCCCUGGGUCAACACUGACGCUCAUGCACGAAAGCCAGGGGAGCGAACGGG
rnacentral:rRNA from 1 species